UACGGAGGGGGCUAGCGUUGUUCGGAAUUACUGGGCGUAAAGAGCGCGCAGGCGGUCGAUCAAGUCGAGUGUGAAAGCCCCCGGCUCAACUGGGGAGGGUCAUUCGAUACUGAUCGACUCGAAGGCAGGAGAGGGUAGUGGAAUUCCUGGUGUAGCGGUGGAAUGCGCAGAUAUCAGGAGGAACACCGGUGGCGAAGGCGGGUCUCUGGGCAGUAACUGACGCUGAGGAGCGAAAGCGUGGGGAGCGAACAGG
rnacentral:rRNA from 1 species